GGUCCAAUGGGUAUGCGUGGCGAUUCCGGUCCAGUCGGUCCCUCCGGCAAAGCUGGCUUACCGGGUCCCCCCGGUUUAGAUGGCAUGAAGGGCGCUCAAGGUGAAACUGGACACAAAGGCGAACGCGGUGAUCCUGGUUUACCGGGCACCGAUGGCAUACCCGGCCAGGAGGGACCACGUGGCGAGAAGGGUUCACGCGGCGAUGCCGGACCACCGGGCAAACGUGGACGCAAAGGUGAUCGCGGCGACAAGGGCGAGCAGGGUGUACCGGGACUGGACGCGCCCUGUCCGCUGGGCUCUGAUGGCCUGCCACUGCCGGGUUGUGGUUGGCGACCACCCAAGGAGCCGGUUAUCUCCACACCUGUGCACAAAGAUUACCUGCCCGAUGUGACGGCGCCUGAGAGCAACACCAGCGACUACGAGGCGGAGGAAGAGGAAGAUGAGCAGAAUGAGGCUGAAGAAGAAUACGAUGAAUAUGCAGAGAAUCUACACAAUAAUGAUUAAAACCAGAACUGCAAGCUAUGGUCCAAGAGAUGACAAAAAAUCACGAAAACAAGCACUUUGUAAUAACCAAAACUAAAACCGGCACUUAGCACAGCUUUGCUGCUAAAUUAAUGAAAAUUGGCAGCAGUGGUUGAAGGAAGAAUUAAAUGCGAUUCAGAGACCUGCACGAAAUUAGAAUGCACAAACCCGUUAUUUACAGCUGAUCAUAAUAUCCAAGAAUGAGAUAGAAACUUUUCUGUAAAUGUUAACAAAAGUGCAGCAAUAAACGAUGUCGAGCCGAAUCUCUAAAAUUACUACCGAGCAACUACACUCAUACAUAUACAUAUAUAAAUGUUAGUUUCUUAUUUAUACCGAUGGCAGUUAAAACUAUUUUAAAUUUAAUUUAAGCAAGCAUAUUAAUAUAAUAACAGUGCAUUAUGUUUAGAGAAAAAAGUGCCGUAACGAAUUAACACAAUUAGAAAUAGUUGUAUUAAAUAAUUAUUGUAUGAACCAAAUCACUCCGAAAACGGGUGCUAUUUAUUCAUGUAUAUUAUUUAUUAAUAUAUACACAAGUUUAUUUAACACAAUUACCACCAAUAACAAACGACAAAAAGAGUUUACGAAUUCAGCGAAUAUUUAAGAAAUUACGAAGAAUUUAAUGACAUAUACAAUAAUUAUCAUUUUGUGUAUCGAAAUGAGAAUGGAUUAUAAACUUUUACGUUAAAGCAGCUACUUAUAUACACUUACAAUAGAUUCAUAUUUAUAUACGUAAAUAUAUUGUAUUAAAGGCGAUUUGCAUUUAAGGAAACAAUCUUAUAUUUACUUGUAUUGUUCAUUCGUAGUUUUAAAUUGUUUUAACAAAACUUUUUUAAAUGUAAUUAAUAUUUUUAAUAUACGAAAUAUUUACUGUUUAAAUAAAUAUAUAUAUAACAAAACCGCAAGUGGCCGCAUACUUUUCAUGUUUUGAAAUAGAUUGUUAGGUCAUUUUAGAAGUCAAAAAUAAUUU
rnacentral:misc_RNA from 1 species